rnacentral:rRNA from 1 species
UACGUAGGCAGCAAGCGUUGUUCGGAGUUAUUGGGCGUAAAGGGUGCGUAGGCGGCUUUUUAAGUUUGGUGUGAAAUCUCCCGGCUCAACUGGGAGGGUGCGCCGAAUACUGAGAGGCUAGAGUGCGGGAGAGGAAAGUGGAAUUCCUGGUGUAGCGGUGAAAUGCGUAGAUAUCAGGAGGAACACCGGUGGUGUAAACGGCUUUCUGGACCGUAACUGACGCUGAGGCACGAAAGCGUGGGUAGCAAACAGG